rnacentral:rRNA from 1 species
UACGUAGGUGGCGAGCGUUGUCCGGAAUUACUGGGUGUAAAGGGCGAGUAGGCGGGUAGGCAAGUCAGAUGUGAAAUACCGAGGCUUAACUUCGGGGCUGCAUUUGAAACUGUAUAUCUUGAGUGAUGGAGAGGCAGGCGGAAUUCCCGGUGUAGCGGUGAAAUGCAUAGAGAUCGGGAGGAACACCAGUGGCGAAGGCGGCCUGCUGGACAUUAACUGACGCUGAGGCGCGAGAGUGUGGGGAGCAAACAGGAUUAGAUACCCUGGUAGUCCACACUGUAAACGAUGGAUACUAGGUGUGGGGGGACUGACCCCUUCCGUGCCGGAGUUAACACAAUAAGUAUCCCACCUGGGGAGUACGAUCGCAAGAUUGAA